rnacentral:rRNA from 1 species
UGGGGAAUCUUGCACAAUGGGGGAAACCCUGAUGCAGCGACGCCGCGUGAGUGAUGAAGCCCUUCGGGGUGUAAAAGCUCUUUCGGCAGGGACGAUAAUGACGGUACCUGCAGAAGAAGCUGCGGCUAACUACGUGCCAGCAGCCGCGGUAAUACGUAGGCAGCAAGCGUUGUUCGGAAUUACUGGGCGUAAAGAGUGCGUAGGCGGUUUGGCAAGUUUGGUGUGAAAUCUCCUGGCUUAACUGGGAGGGUGCGCCGAAAACUGUCAGGCUAGAGUGUGGGAGAGGAAAGCGGAAUUCCUGGUGUAGCGGUGAAAUGCGUAGAUAUCAGGAGGAACACCUGCGGUGUAGACGGCUUUCUGGACCACUACUGACGCUGAGGCACGAAAGCGUGGGGAGCAAACAGGAUUAGAUACCCUGGUAGUCCACGCCCUAAACGAUGCGGACUUGGUGUUGGCCCUUCAUUGGGUCAGUGCCGCAGUUAACGCGGUAAGUCCGCCGCCUGGGGAGUACGGUCGCAAGGCUGAAACUUAAAUGAAUUGACGGGGUCAUAGCUGUUUCCUG